rnacentral:rRNA from 1 species
GAUUUCUGGUAUGGCGCAUUUGGCCCGCUUCGGUUACGGAGUAGAGUGCCGUUUUGCGCCUGCCAUCCUUCUGGAGUACGACUCUCCCUUUAGUGGGUUGGGCCGGAAUCCAGAUCAUUUACUUUGAAAAAAUUAGAGUGUUUAAAGCAGGCUUACGCGUAUGAAUACAUUAGCAUGGAAUAAUAAUUUAGGACUUUGGUCUUAUUUUGUUGGUUUCUAGGACUAAAGUAAUGAUUGAUAGGGAUAGUUGGGGGUGCUAGUAUUCAGCGGCCAGAGGUGAAAUUCUUGGAUUCGCUGAAGACUAACUUAUGCGAAAGCAUU